UCUUGUAAGCUGUAGUCAUAUAAUCCUACUCACUAUGCCAUAUUGGAAACACAUAUAAAGAUUCUCUUUCUAUUUUGACAUUUUAUCAAACACAUAGUAAGCAUUUUCCAGUAUCAAUAUGCAAUAGAAGUUCCACCAAGCCCAAACACCCCCAAACUGGAAUUUUUAUUGAGUACGGAUAGCCCAAAACUUUAGUGCCAGUACUGAAGUGAAGAUUGUCA
rnacentral:lncRNA from 1 species